GACGAACGCUGGCGGCGUGCUUAACACAUGCAAGUCGAACGGUAAGGCCCUGCUUGUGUGGGAUGAUCGAGUGGCGAAAGGGUAACUAACACGUGAGUAACCUGCCAUUUACUGUGAGAUAACUUAAAGUAAUUCGGGUUAAUACCGGAUAGGCGCUCCGGCUGCAUGGGGGGGGUAGGAACGUUUGGGCGGGGGGGGACGGACGCGCGCCUUAUCAGCUUGUGGGGGGGGGGGUGGCUUACGAGGGCAUGGGUGGGUGGCCGGCCUGGGGGGGUGACCGGCCAAAUUGGGACUGAGAUACGGCCAAGCCUCCUCCGGAAGCAAGCAGUGGGGAAUAUUCAACAAUGGGCGAAGCCCGGAUCCGGCACGCCCGCGUGGGGGAUGACGCCCUUCGGUUUGUAACCCGCUUUCGCCUGUAACGAAGCGUUAGUGACGGUAAUUGGUAAAGAAGCACCGGCUAACUACGUG
rnacentral:rRNA from 1 species